UGGCUCAGUGGUUAAGAGCACUGGCUGCUGUUCCAGAGCCCUGGGUUCAACUCCCAG
rnacentral:tRNA from 1 species